rnacentral:rRNA from 1 species
AUGAUAGCAUUCAGGGAUGUGUUGGAAGUUUGUAGUUUAGUAGACUUGGGAUUUUUGGGGGUUCCUUUCACCUAUGACAAUAAAAGAAGUGGCUCGAGCAAUGUUAGGGUGAGGCUGGAUAGGGCCGUUGCAACAAAUGAUUGGAGGAAUAUAUUCCCCUUUGCCUCUGUACAACAUAUUCUAAGUCCUUGUUCGGAUCAUGUGGAUGUACUUCUCAAGGGCGAGGCGGAUUCUGGACCGGUUGGGCCGAAACAUCGCCGAUAUGAGAUCUUCUGGGAGCGGGACUCCACGCUGCCGGAGGUCGUCAAGAACGCGUGGGAAUCUGUUGGCAAUGUCCAAAAUUUGGAGCAGUUGCGAGAGGCGCUAACCAAGACAAUGGUGUCGUUGGGUUCUUGGUCCAGGAAGUUCGGGAAUGUUACAAAGGAGUUAGCUAAGUCCCGUUCACAGUUAGAAGAGCUCAUGCAUAUGAAUGCGGAUCGACAAGAAAUAAGGAAAGUGACAGACAGGAUGAAUGAUCUUUUGUACCAAGAGGAGAUGAUUUGGCUUCAAAGAUCGAGAAUUUCAUGGCUUAAGGAGGGGGACCGCAACACAAAGUUUUUUCAUAGUAAGGUAGUGUGGAGGGCUCGUAGAAACAAAAUCAGGCAGUUAACGGAUAGUAUUGGAGUGGUCCAUUCAGAUUUGGUGUCUAUGGGUAAGCUAGUGAAUGAGUAUUUUCGGGAUGUCUUCACUGCGGAUGUUAACCUUGAUGCAGGCCAUGUGGUUGAUCUCUUUGAAGUACUUUGUCACGGAGGAGGACAAUAUUAA